CUGACAAUAACACGAGCUUCCGAAGUAUAAAAUCACAAAUCCUGUAGCAGGAAUGCUUUAUAGAAUGUACGAAAUGCUGCUAUAUAAUAUAAUAUUCACAUAUAGAACGAAAUAUAAACGAUAUAUAUAUAAAUAUUUACCUCGCUCGUAGUGUCAUCUGGGUUGUCGAUUCUUGUAUAAAAACGCUACUGGGUACACUUGUACUAACUCUAUCCUCUGAUAACAUUGUUAUCUCAUGGUAACAACAGUUAUCCCUCAUGUGACUUCACUGACUUUAGAAACUGACAAUGAUUUGUUCUGUCCUUCUGUCCUUUUAACUUACUUUAAAACGAAGACAUUGUUUUUGCGGCACGCUG